rnacentral:pre_miRNA from 1 species
AUCACCCGGGGAUCUUGUUAAAAUGCAGAUUCAUAUUCAGUGGGUCUGGCAGGGAGGCUGAGAUUCUGUGUUUCUAACAAGCUCCCAGGAGACGCUGA